rnacentral:rRNA from 1 species
UACGUAGGGUGCAAGCGUUGUCCGGAAUUAUUGGGCGUAAAGAGCUCGUAGGCGGUUUGUCGCGUCUGCUGUGAAAACUCGGGGCUUAAUCCCGGGCCUGCAGUGGGUACGGGCAGACUAGAGGUAGGUAGGGGAGAAUGGAAUUCCCGGUGUAGCGGUGAAAUGCGCAGAUAUCGGGAGGAACACCGGUGGCGAAGGCGGCACUCUGGGCUGGAACUGACGCUGAGGAGCGAAAGCGUGGGUAGCAAACAGG